UCAGUGGUAUUCCUAGGACUUUUAAACUUAGUAUACAUCCAUAGGUAAUGGCUGCAAGUGAGAAUCUACUUUUUGAAACAAGUUGAAAAAAAGCAUUUGUCUACAAAAGAACAUCAGGUACUGCACUUUUUACAAAUUGAAUGUUUGUGGCAAGCCUGCAUCGAGAAAGUCCAUUGAUGCCAUUUUUUUCAAACAGCAGAGGAUCUGGGUGAAGAGAGACUGAGACACAGGUGUCCUAAAGCAGAGGACAACAGUGCAGAAAGAGGACCUGUGCCAUCUGAAGGCAUGCCUCACAGCAGAGAAACAUCAACUCACCUG
rnacentral:lncRNA from 1 species